CGCGAAGCAUCAAACUCUCUCGCUGUCUCUCUUUUAUUUCCCUCGCCUGUGAAACCCAGGGCCUAGGAGAAAGGCAUUAGACAUCCAUUUCUCGGGCCAUGUUACUGCACCUUCUCAGAUCCGGAUAGUAUCAAUUUGCAUAUCUAUCCGAUCCGAAUCCGAGUCAGAAUCAGCCAUGACUAGGCGGUGCUCUCAUUGCAGCCACAAUGGGCACAAUUCGAGGACCUGCUCUAACCGCGGGGUCAAGCUCUUUGGGGUCCGAUUGACAGACGGGUCGAUCCGCAAAAGUGCUAGUAUGGGCAAUUUAAGCCAUUAUACAGGGUCUCCCAACCCGGAUGGGGCCCACGCUUCCCCCGGCGAGACACCCGACCACGGAGACGCUGCUGACGGCUACGCUUCCGAGGAUUUCGUUCCUGGGGCUUCUUU
rnacentral:misc_RNA from 1 species